rnacentral:ncRNA from 1 species
UGUAAAGUGAUGAUAGGGUAAAGUAAACGUUAGGGCUUCUCAGGGAGGCAGUGUCAUGGACUGAAAGCGCUGCUAAAGUAACUGCCGUUGAAGGUUCACCCUUGAACUGCCUGACUGAAACCACUUAGGGCAAGUAGGUCAAGACGGAAACUUCCACCGUUAAAAGGAAGGGGGUAUAAGGAAUUUUAUUCCUGUACCUGCAUAAAGAGGGGUCUAGAUCAGGCUCAAUCAGGGUGGUACCGCGAAAAACACUUUUCGUCCCUUAG